CUCAGGGCUCCCGAGGUCGACGGCUAGCUGCUACCAAACUGCUGUGCCUUUGCUAAUAGUUUUUUCUCCUUUCAUUUUCGAUUUCAUGAAGGUCACCUUAAGUCCCUGCAAUUCUCUAUAAAUUUUUCUGUAAUAAAGUUGUUGCCUUCUUUCCUCUGAUUAUCAGUUUCAUUUAUUCUAAUAUAUGUUGGCAAUGUAGUUCAUGUUAUGAUUUAUGCAGGAAGGAUGUGUAGAAAGAAAAUAGAUGCCAAAGCUGACUCAUCCAAUCAUGAACAGGAAAGAAAGGAGUACAUUAUUUUCAUGUCUUCCCAUAAUUUGACGUCUACCCUCAAAGAUAUAUUACAGAAAGUCACUGGCAGGUUGAUGAAUGCCCUCUUUCACUCCCAUGCAGUUGUAAGCAUUUAUUUUAUGGUACUUAAUUAAUAGUAAUUAUUCCUGUGCGAUGUCCUCUCAAGCACUGAUUCCAUAGGUUACUAUAAAGUUAAGUUUUGUAUCGUCAAGCUUACAGAGGAGGAGGUGAGAAAACUAGCAAGCACGUAUGCAGUUUCCAUUGUUACCACUAAGCUUCUAGACUACAAUGAUUUGAUAGACAAGUAAGCUAAGAAGAAUCCAGUGUUUGUCCAAAAUGUGACCAGAUUGUAGUGCUAAAUCACGAGAAUCAGCUCGUGCUUACUUUGCCCUUGAUUUUGGCUUUCCAGAACAAUUUUGUACA